rnacentral:misc_RNA from 1 species
GUACCUUCAAGCUCUGCUUGGUGUUGGGUGUUUGUCUCGCCUUUUGCGCGCAGACUCGCCUCAAAACGAUUGGCAGCCGGCGUAUUGAUUUCGGAGCGCAGCACAAGUCGCGCUUUGCACUCAUAACGACGACGUCCAAAAGUACAUUUUUACAC